UGGGGAAUAUUGGACAAUGGGCGCAAGCCUGAUCCAGCCAUGCCGCGUGAGUGACGAAGGCCUUAGGGUUGUAAAGCUCUUUCGGCGGGGAAGGAUAAUGACGGUACCCGCAGAAGAAGCCCCGGCUAACUCUGUGCCAGCAGCCGCGGUAAUACAGAGGGGGCAAGCGUUGUUCGGAAUCACUGGGCGUAAAGCGCACGUAGGUGGAUAGUUAAGUUCGGGGUGAAAUCCCAGGGCUCAACCCUGGAACUGCCUCGGAUACUGGCUAUCUCGAGUCCGGAAGAGGUGAGUGGAAUUCCUAGUGUAGAGGUGAAAUUCGUAGAUAUUAGGAAGAACACCGGUGGCGAAGGCGGCCCACUGGAUCGGUACUGACGCUGAGGUGCGAAAGCGUGGGGAGCAAACAGGAUU
rnacentral:rRNA from 1 species